GUCUCUGUCUGGAGUCUCUGACAUCUUCCCAUCUUCAGAGUGGGUGCAGAAGUUGCGCACUUUGGCAAGCGCAGAGGCCGGCACUCCAUAAAAGAGAAGUGCCCUGUUUAUGUGAGCCGUCAGCGACCCGCAAAAAGGCUUUUCUUAGUUUUCAUUCUUAGUUAACGUUAAAAUUUAGUGGCAAACUUUACAAAGAAUCUGCAGUUCCUUUAGGGGCAUGCCCUGAAUCGCACAAUAGAGAGACAGGAUUCGGGGAGGGAGGAAAAUGUGGGGGGAAAGUGGAGAAGAGGGAGAGGGGAAAGAGGAGAGCCAACGCAGGAAGCAACAGACCCAAACCACAGACCAUUAUCGAGGGAGGGAACAAAGGAGGUACGAACCUCUCCCCAACCCUGUAGCAGUAUGAACCUCCAUCUAGAGGCUGCAAUGGAGUCCUGAUUUAUGCUAGGCCCAGUUCCCCAAGUCUUUGUGGAGAAAGCAGCCAGCCAGACAACACACCAAGGGUCCCAGGGAUGUUUUUUUGAUGAAAGGGUUCAACAGAGAAAGGAAUUGGGAAAAGCUGAGAAAGGCCAGGCACAACUCAGCAUGUCCUGACUUCGAGGAGCCGGAAUCAGCCAUAGUGACUGUGGCUGGGACCCCCUGUGCUCCCUCAGCACAAAGAUACCUGCUCUGAGUGUUCUGGUGAUGAGACUUAGCCCUGAAGGAACCCAUGGACCUAAGCCACAGUGUGCACUUUGGGUAACUCCGGGAGGUUUUCUGUAAGACUGCAGCUGUGUGCCAGGAAGACCACACCCACACGUCACAUCUCUUCAGGGACAUCGAGCGGGAAGUUGUGUCCUUUCUUUACCCCAUUGCAUCGCACAUUUCCUAUAAUAUCCCUGCUCAUUAUUCUGCAUGGCACAGGACAUGGCUUAUUCCCCGUUAGCAUUUCAUAAUAUUUGCUAUUAGAAAGUAAGUCCUAUGACAGGAAGAGAUGUUAUAAAUUGGAUGUUUAAUUAACAGGAAUAAAACUAUGGUCAAGCAAC
rnacentral:lncRNA from 1 species